rnacentral:rRNA from 1 species
CUACUUAUGCCGGCGACCGGCGGACGGGUGCGUAACGCGUAUGUAACCUACCUUUGACAGGGGGAUAACAUCGAGAAAUUGGUACUAAUACCCCAUAACAUCACCGGAGGCAUCUUCGGUGGUUGAAAACUCCGGUGGUAAUGGAUGGGCAUGCGUUGUAUUAGUUAGUUGGUGGGGUAACGGCUCACCAAGACAACGAUACAUAGGGGGACUGAGAGGAAGGUCCCCCACAUUGGAACUGAGACACGGUCCAAACUCCUACGGAAGGCAGCAG